CACGUAGGCGGACUGGAAAGUUGGAGGUGAAAUCCCAGGGCUCAACCUUGGAACUGCCUUCAAAACUAUCAGUCUGGAGUUCGAGAGAGGUGAGUGGAAUUCCGAGUGUAGAGGUGAAAUUCGUAGAUAUUCGGAGGAACACCAGUGGCGAAGGCGGCUUACUGGACGGUAACUGACGUUGAGGCUCGAAAGCGUGGGGAGCAAACA
rnacentral:rRNA from 1 species